rnacentral:rRNA from 1 species
CCUACGGGAGGCAGCAGUGGGGAAUAUUGCACAAUGGGCGCAAGCCUGAUGCAGCCAUGCCGCGUGUGUGAAGAAGGCCUUCGGGUUGUAAAGCACUUUCAGCGGGGAGGAAGGCGUUAAGGUUAAUAACCUUGGCGAUUGACGUUACCCGCAGAAGAAGCACCGGCUAACUCCGUGCCAGCAGCCGCGGUAAUACGGAGGGUGCAAGCGUUAAUCGGAAUUACUGGGCGUAAAGCGCACGCAGGCGGUCUGUCAAGUCGGAUGUGAAAUCCCCGGGCUCAACCUGGGAACUGCAUUCGAAACUGGCAGGCUAGAGGCCUGGAGAGGGGGGUAGAAUUCCAGGUGGAGCGGGUAAAUGCGUAGAGAUUUGGAGGAAUACCGGGGGCGAAGGCGGCCCCCUGGACAAAGAAUGACGGCCAGGUUCCAAAGCGGUGGGAGCAAACCGGAUUAGAUACCCUGGUAGUC